UCAUCAGGAAACCGGGAUGUAUCAGGUUAACAUAGAAGAAGAAUCGGUGUUAAUUACAUCUAGUUCUACUGCAGCUCAACCCCAAUACCUCCACAACGUUUAGUAGCUACAAUACUGGGAUUUAAGGUGAUUCCUUCGAGAUUAGAUAUGGCUCCUAAACACAUGUUCAACACUUAUUAUUAGAGAACAUUUCAGAAGAACCUUUCGAACAGUUAUCAGAUGAAGAAGUAAAUUAUGGUUCAGAAUCAUCUGUUCAGGAGUUAAUAUCAAUAGAGCAAAUAGAGCUUGUCCCAAAAACACCAAGAUCACGUGAGGGCCUUGGAAGCUCCAGUUACGAUAUUGUGGAUACAAAAAGAAGUGAAAUACAGUUGAAAUUACAGAGGAUGUGGUAUCUCUUAGCAAGGAUUAAGAAUUUGAUCUCCAUUUAAUGAGUGAGAUGAAUGAUCGGAGCAAAAAAGAGGGGUGGCAAACUAUUUGGGGAAAAUUUUUAUAAAUCAAAGGAAAAAGCAAGAGGAUGAACUGGUGAACCCGUUGCAAGUUUUAGAAGGAAGAACUCGAAAAAGGAAGUUCAAAGCUCUUUUAUGAGAUACUGGUACAAAAAAGUGAAGGGUAUGUGGAUGUGAAGCAUGAAAAUGCACAUGUUGACAUUCUGGUGCAGAAAGCUCCUAGAUGGGAUGAGCUGCUUCCAUG